GACGAACGCUGGCGGCGUGCUUAACACAUGCAAGUCGAGCGGAGCAGCGAACGGGGGAGUAACGCGUGAGUAACUACCCCCCCCUCUGGGGUAACAGUUGGAAACGGAUGCGAAUACCGGAUCGUGGGUGAUGACUGGCGUCCUAUCAGCAUGUUGGUGGGGUAGUGGCCUACCAAGGAGGCGACGGGUAGCCGGCCUGAGAGGGCGACCGGCCACCUUGGGCUGAGGUACGGCCCAAACGCGUACGGGAUGCAGUAGUGGGGAAUAUUGCACAAUCGAGCAGACCCUGAGGCAGAAGCGUUGCGUGCGUGAUGACGGUUCACGGGUUGUAAACCGCUUUCAGCUAUGACGCGUUAGUCGCAGAAGAAGCACCGGCUAACUCCGUGCCAGCAGCCGCGGUAAUAC
rnacentral:rRNA from 1 species